GAACUAAAGUGGUGAAGUGCUUCCCAACAGGCUAGGGUUUCGAUUUGCGCCGGAGAAGACGCUCGCACCUUCUUUGCAAAACCGUCAACGAUCUUCCCAGAGGCAUCUCGGCAUACACAGGCGACAUUACCUUCAUUAUCUCCUUCCAGAAAGGACCCAUCAACGUUAAUUUUGAGGGUACCUUCCGGCGGUGGCUUCCAUAUGGCAGUUUCCACGACCCACCUCGGCUAUGGGUUCUGUUGACGAAAGACGUGAUUGUUUCUUGACUUCCAGAUGUUCCAUACGAUCUCGGCUAGUAGCUCAGGGUGCGUCCAAACCUGUUUGGUCCAUUCACAGAGAAGAAAGAUAUGUUCUACAGUCUCUGGGUGCUUGCGACAAAGAGGGCAUAAGGGCUCAUUAACUGUUUCUGUCAGGAUUUUGUUCAUAUCGCUCGUAACUAUGCGUGGGCAUUGGUCUAAGAUCGGCUGGAAAUUUCUUUGUCCCACUGAGGUAUAAAGGGACUGGAAGAACUCCAAAGUCUUCUGUUUAAGAAGCCUAGUGUCAUGAAUCCACUGAUCUUCAGUAAUCUUUAACAUUGAAAUAUUAUUCCUUUGUCUUCUUUGUAUGGUUGUUGCAUGAAAGUACCGAGUGUUCUUAUCUCCCCAUUUUAUCCAGUUAAGCCGAGAUCUCAUUCCCCAAUACAUUUCUUCCUGUCUCCAGAGUUUGUCAAUUUGUAAUUUCACCUCGUGGACUCUCUUCCUGUCAUACUGAAUAUCGGUUAUAUUUGUUAUAAUCUGAAGUUCCUGUUUUAAGGCGUUGAUUUGUCUGUGAGCAUUCGAAAAUUUUUUCCUACUCCAUUUAGCAAGUGCUCCUGAUACCAUAUUCAGCUUUCUCAAUAAAUCUUCUUUUUCUGCUACUGGAGAAUUCCACACUUCUUUUACCAGCUUGCUGCACUCUUCCUCUUCAAGCCAAUAGGCUUCAAAUUUGAAUUCUGUUUUCCU